rnacentral:rRNA from 1 species
UACGAAGGGGGCUAGCGUUGCUCGGAAUCACUGGGCGUAAAGGGUGCGUAGGCGGGUCUUAAGUCAGGGGUGAAAUCCUGGAGCUCAACUCCAGAACUGCCUUUGAUACUGAGGAUCUUGAGUUCGGGAGAGGUGAGUGGAACUGCGAGUGUAGAGGGUGAAAUUCGUAGAUAUUCGCAAGAACACCAGUGGCGAAGGCGGCUCACUGGCCCGAUACUGACGCUGAGGCACGAAAGCGUGGGGGAGCAAACAGGG